AUGGCAUACACAUGCUCCGAGGCUUUCCAGAGGCGCAAGUGGAAAACUCCAAAAGGGACCAGCGGAAGCAAGCCACGUGAGUGUCUGGGAGAAGAAACUUCCAGGCUGAAGGAAGAGCAAGCACUGAGGCAACUCACUGAAGAGAGUUUGGGAUAUCAGCAUGGCUGGGUGCAGCAGGCCAUAUCCCAGGGGAGCUGCUCCAUCAUCCUGGAGACUGGAGUGAAGACGAUGAGCAGCAGAGCCACAGCCAGCCUGCAGUGGACACGUUCUACAGGUGAAAGGUGCACCUUGCAGCAGCCAGGCCCUGUGGCUGGGGUUGGUGGUUACGGUGACAUGGUCCAUGCUGACUGAUACAGCCCACUGUGCACCUUUGUCCAGCUGUCUUCCUUCUGCCUCUGUGCAGGGGCAAAGAGGAUUGACUCAGUUUAAUCAGCACUGGGGCUUCGAGAGGGGCUUAGCAGGGAAAGCGAGGGCCCAGGAAACUGAGGGUAUAUUUAAAGGAGCCUGAGCUGGGGAGGGAGGGAAGCAUGGGAUAUGCUAGAGUCAUCCUUGGGUUUGUUUCUUACAGUGACAAGACGGCUGCCAGGGGCAGUCAGGACCAAACAUGUCCUUGCUCGUGUCCCCGAGGAGAAUGUGUCCCUGUGUCCAGUUGGAACUUGUGUUGACUCUCUUUGUUGCCAGAAGUGGUCAGAAUUUCUUUUUGAAAGGACUUAUUUUAAUUUGUCUUGCCAGCAAAGCUUCUGCCCCUGAGAUUUCAGGUAUCUGCUUUUGUUUGUCGUUUUGGCCUUUUCAGAUUGAAUUAAACUGGACACACACACACACACACACACACACACACACACUAAACUGGGGACACACACACACACACUAAACUGAGGACACACACACACACACACAAAACCGGGGACACACACACACAUAAAACUGGACACACACAGACUCUAAACUGGACACACACACACUAAACUGGAUACACACACACACACACACACACACACACACACACACAGAGGAGAGAGAGAGAGAGAGAGAGAGAGAGACAGACAGAGAGAGAGAGGUUUCCUGGGCCAGUAGGGGUUUCCAGUGCUUGCAUAAGGAUGGUCCUAUGUGGUCUGCACACACCCUUCAAGUCCUCAUCACAGCCUGUCCAUUCCUGACAGGGAUUAGGUCCAAAUCACCUAUUUUGGAACCUGGGCAGGCUGGAACCUGGUCUGACUGAAACCUGGUCUGACUGGAACCCAUUAAUUCCCUGUGCCUUACUGCCCAGAGGCUAGAAGGCUUCCAUUCUCAUGACCCCCCUUCCCCUUAUUAGAGAAGCCAGACAGUCCUGCACAGCCGUGGGCCCUGCCCUAGACACUGUCUGCUAGUUCUGGCCCUGGCCUUCAGGCCUGUUGCCCAGCCAAGCGCAGGAGAACCUCUGCAGUCUUACCUGGAUGCCUCUCCCAGCUGCCUGCCCCUCCGGCCAUAGACACUGGACAGGAGCCCACAUGUUCUUUACUCCCCCUCAUUUGGGCAUCAGAACUUAAAAGAGGCUUUAUGGUGAAGAGUGGGAGAUCCAGACAGGCCCCACUUCUCAAGAUUGCAGGGUGCAGGCCUUGGUGGGGCUGAGUCGUCCCCUUGAUCUGGGAGCUCCUCCUGCAGGAGUCUGGCCUUGCUUCAGUCUGGCUCUGGGAGCCCACCUGGCCCCUUGCUCAUCUUCAGCAAGCCUCCCGCUGAAGUCAGGGCAUGUGCGAGGUGACCUGACAGCCGGGAGUGCUGGAGCUGUCAUGGUCUCAGAUGCAAUGUCUGCAGUGUUUAUGUCCAGUGACCCUCAAAAAGGCACAAUGGGGUGGGCAAGGUCAGGACGGGUUUACAGAUGGGAAGCUGGUCCUCCGAGAGGGGAGUGCCCACCCAAGGCCACAUGGCUUGUUGGUGACUGACCAACCUGUGGCCUCAUGACACCUAGUCCCCUGCUCUUUUCACUGCCCCUCACUCCCAGGGAGAGCCACUGUUAUUCGGUGUGGUGUUAACAUGGACUGCAGCAGACCCUCAGGCCUUGGCUAACUGGUAAACCUCAGCUUCAGCUUCAGCCACUGUUAUUCAGUGUGGUGUUAACAUGGACUGCAGCAGACCCUCAGGCCUUGGCUAACUGGUAAACCUCAGCUUCAGCUUCAGCCACUGUUAUUCAGUGUGGUGUUAACAUGGACUGCAGCAGACCCUCAGGCCUUGGCUAACUGGUAAACCUCAGUUUCAGCUUCAGGCUGGGCUUGCUCAGAGAUGGCUGGAACACUCGGGUGGUCAGGCCAGGGAAGGGUAGAAGAUGGGGAGUCCCUGCCAGACUUCCGUGGGGUUUCCCAGGUGCUCCUGUGGUGGGGGGUCUGUUUUUGUGUGUUUUUCUUAAAUUAUACUUUAAGUUCUGGGGUAUGUGUGCAAAACAUGCAGGUUUGCUACAUAGGUAUACAUGUGCCAUGGUGGUUUACUGCAUCCAUCACCCUGUCAUCUACAUUAGGUAUUUCUCCUAGUGCUAUCCCUCCCCAAUCCCCUCAAUCCCUGCUAUCCCUCCCCUAGCCCCUACCCCUGACAGGCCCCGGCAUGUGAUGUUCCCCUCCCUGUAUCCAUGUGUUCUUAUUGUUCAACACCCACUUAUGAGUGAGAACGUGCGGUGUUUGGUUUUCUGUUCUUAUGUUAGUUUGCUGAGAAUGAUGAUUUCUAGCUUCAUCCAUGUCCCUGGAAAGGACAUGAACUCAUCCUUUUUUUAUGGCUGCAUAGUAUUCCAUGGUAUAUAUGUGCCACAUUUUCUUUAUCCAGUCUGUCAUUGAUGGGCAUUUGGGUUGGUACCAAGUCUUUGCUAUUGUGAACAGUGCCGCAAUAAACGUAUGUGUGCAUGUGUCUUUAUGAUAGAA
rnacentral:lncRNA from 13 species